rnacentral:tRNA from 1 species
GUGGGUGUCGUCAAGUGGUUAAGACCCAGGAUUGUGAUUCCUGUAUACGUGAGUUCGAAUCUCACCAUCCACCCCA